UCCGUAGGUGGAUCAAUCAGUCAGAGGUGAAAUCCUGCAGCUUAACUGUAGAACUGCCUUUGUUACUGUUGAUCUUGAGUCAUUAUGAAGUGGUUAGAAUGUGUAGUGUAGCGGUGAAAUGCAUAGAUAUUACACAGAAUACCGAUUGCGAAGGCAGAUCACUAAUAAUGUACUGACACUGAGGGACGAAAGCGUGGGGAGCGAACAGGAUUAGAUACCCUGGUAGUCC
rnacentral:rRNA from 1 species